rnacentral:rRNA from 1 species
ACGGGAGGCAGCAGUGAGGAAUAUUGGUCAAUGGGCGGAAGCCUGAACCAGCCAAGUCGCGUGAGGGAAGACGGCCCUACGGGUUGUAAACCUCUUUUGCGCGGGGGUAAAGUCGGGGACGUGUCCCCGAUUGCAAGUACCGCGCGAAUAAGGAUCGGCUAACUCCGUGCCAGCAGCCGCGGUAAUACGGAGGAUCCGAGUGUUAUCCGGAUUUAUUGGGUUUAAAGGGUGCGUAGGCGGAGGAUCAAGUCAGUGGUGAAAUGGUGCGGCUCAACCGUAGCAUUGCCGUUGAAACUGGUUUUCUAGAGUGCGAAUGAGGUGGGCGGAAUGUGUCAUGUAGCGGUGAAAUGCAUAGAUAUGACACAGAACACCGAUUGCGAAGGCAGCUCACUGGGACGCAACUGACGCUGAGGCACGAAAGUGCGGGGAUCGAACAGGAUUAGAUACCCUGGUA